GACGUAGGAGGCGAGCGUUAUCCGGAUUCACUGGGCUUAAAGCGUGUGUAGGCGGAUCGUUAAGUGUCUUGUGAAAUCCCACGGCUCACCCGUGGAACUGCUGGGCAUACUGGCGAUCUUGGGCCAACUAGGGGCAGUCGGAACAAGCGGUGGAGCGGUGAAAUGCGUAGAUAUCGCUUGGAACGCCGAAGGUGAAAACAGACUGCUGGGGUUGCGCCGACGCUGAGACACGAAAGCCAGGGGAGCGAACGGG
rnacentral:rRNA from 1 species